GCGGAGGGCUGGAGGGAGGCCCUGAUUCCUCGCAGCCAUCCACACAGAAGUGGUUUGAUAUAAUCACCAUGACAACUGCCGCCUAUAAGCAUACAAAUAAUAGAGAUGAAAUAGACAAAAGAUUAGCAUGCCAUGAAAAGUACAAUAAGUUUCUUAUUUAGCAUUUAGAUAACUGUCUUUCCUUCGGAGCAGGCUUCAAAGUUGAACCCAGUUUAGACCAAGAGGAUUAAUUCUUUCUCCCGCAUGCUUCAUUGAAUCUCUCAUUACCAAACUUUGUCUGUAUUGAUGUAAGAUUUGAUUGAAGAUUAGAGCAUUUAGCAAAUCUUGCUUUUCUGCAUGUAUCAGGCCUUUUCAAGCGCAGACCGUGCUGCCCAGUGGUCAAUACCCUUACUUUUAUCCAGUGUCUGCUUCAUUUAAACUUAAUCAACUCCCUCAAUGAACUGGAACAGGGAAACGUCCCUGAGGUAAGAAUGUUGUGCUGUUCUUAGAUAAUUCUUUGCUCCCUCUCCCAGUCCGCUGGCGUUAAACCUAAAAUUGCUCUCUGAUGAACUUAAUCAAUAUGAUAAUGACAAUUGGGGCUGAAUGGCUCGGCCUGGGCUCGGCACGGAAAAGGUAGAUGGCUGUGCCCACAGCCUAAAAGCAACUUCUCCUUUCUCGCCUCUUCUUUUGUGUGCACUGCUCCCACCUUUCUUUCUCUCUCUCCCCCUCUUCCCCCCUCUCCGUGACACCGACCGCUGCUCACGCUGGAGAAUGAUGCUUCUUUGUGCGGCAGGAGGACUCGUAUGUCACCGCCCGGAGGAGCGGAGCGGAGCGAUUGGCCGGCUUGACUUUGAAUUUCCUUAAGUGCCAGAACGAGAAUGCCGUGCUGGGUAGUGCAUUGCCGUGUGCUAUAUUUAGAAAGCAGCUGGAAGAGAAAAUGUCCUCAGGAAUCCGGACUGUUUUGUUGUAAAUGUCCCUCCAGUCCCAGCACUGUAAACGUAAACGCUCGUUCUACAGACGUGUCAGCUCUUGGCGCUACCUGGGAGAGCUGGGUGUCAUGCCUAGUGUUAGCACAGAGGAGGGCCUGGCUCCAUCUCGGGCUGCCUGGGGAAUUUAGAGUUAUCCAACACCAGACUGCUGUAGCGCUCAGCCUGCCUGGUGACUGUGGCAAGGAAGAGUCCCAGCACCUCAGGCUGGAUAGGCCAAUGGGACAUACCAUUGAAAACCACUGCUCAAAGGGCCUAGUCCUGCCUUACUGUGAAAUCACGGGCCAACACCCUUUCUAACCAAGCCAGUGCCCAACGGGAGAAGAACAAGAGCAAUACUGUUGGCAGACACACUGCAGUAGGAUGAAACCAACCCCACUUCACAGAAGCAGCCCCCAAGCUGCUGGCACUGUCCCGAGGCUUCUAAUGUGAGGAAAAACACGCGGUGACAAGUGUGGAAAAGAGCAAGCACUAAAUUACUGUCAGAAAAAUAAACGGCGGAGCGCGGCGCGGGGCGGUGAUUUACGGGGGCAAUUAGUCACCGCCCCACGGAGCCGCUGAGGCCGGCGGGGCCGCCGCAGCAUCCCUGGGGGCUGACCCGGCUCCGGCUCCUGGCCCAGGCCCGCACCCAGCACGGGCACCCAGGAUUUGUCCUGCUCCCGUGCUUCAUUUUUUGCCUACCCCAAAAAUAAGGGUGUGGGAGGAGAGAGGAUCUACCCCAAAAGCCACAGCCUCUGUUAGUGGAGAAAGUGGGGGCACCACAGGUCUGCUUGUUCAUCGUGGUGAGUGGCUGGUGUUCAGGUGUGUGGAGUGACUGAAGAAGUGAGAAGGUACCAUUAAAUGAAAAAUACUCUUGGAGAAUGGAGUCUGGAAAGAGGGGGUGGAAGAGCUGCUGGGCUGGGUGGUAGGGUGGAGGUGGCUUUGCAGCUGCUGUAUGUCUUCUGGAGUUGCUGGGGGCCAUUAAGCCUCCCAGCCUUGGAGAAUGGCCAGCUCUGCUGCUAACUGGGAGUGGACAUUAUAAACAUAUCUAUACGCUGUUGUUUCACUAGGGUGGAGUCCAGGAGAGAUGUUUUAAUUUGAAGCUAGCAGCUUCAAUGUACUGUUCAAGCACCGGUUCAGCCUGGGACUAUGACAAUGAGCCCCCAGCCAGUGUGUUGUGGGGCAUCACGGGGGUAGUUGGAAGGACCCCAAGUCCCUGGUCUAGCAUGGUCCUUUUCUGGACCUUGUGGCUGAGAAGGGUGCCAGGGCCUGGGAGACUCCAGACUCCAACUUCUAUCUUUAGGGACCACAGUGACACUCCUUUCCCCAACUCAUGUUACUGGAUCCACUUCAAAUGGGUAGUGGUUUUGUAACUUUUUACCCCCUGUCUGCUCUCAUUGACCCAGCAAUCCUUACUUGGUGCCUGUAUGUCAAUUUUCAUUUUCUAAGGCUUUACUGGCCACCUAGGCCUUAUGUCUGUCCCCUGAGCAGGGGGCAGCAUUAUCUGACUUUGGAUGCAUGCUGCCAUUAGACCUGCCAGCCUGGUGUCUGGCUCCUCCAGAUAGUUGGCACUUGGAUAAUGGAAGACUGUCCGAGCCCACUGCAACAGCUGGUGCCAGCCAGCUCUUCAAGGACUAGUGCCAGCAUCAGGACGAGUGUGCCAGGGUCUGCUCAUCAAACAGAUCGGCACCCGACCCAUGGCUGCCACUGGGGGACAAAGGGAAAAGCAGUAGAGCAAGUCCCUCUUGACAUGGUACCUCUUGGGAAAGACAGGCAUGUGCCUUUCAAAAGAGGAUGGAAGCUGGAGGAUGAAGAGCUGUUGCAGGUCCCAGCAACCUCAAUAAACGGCCUUCUCUCCCUGCUCCACUUUCCCAGCUGGUAGGAAGCAUGUGAUACCUGCCAUUGGGAAGCUCUAGAGACUUAUGAAUGAUCACAGAGGCAAAGCAGUAGUGGUUAUUUUGGGGUCUGCCCUUGGCUGCUUCCUUGCUUUCUAGAAGUGUUCUUGCAGGGACGUGGUGUGUGUGUGUGUAAACACAAGGUGCUUCUGGUGCUCCCCUUCCCUCGUCGUGGUAGAGCCCCUCUGCUCCCACAGUUUGCUGGGCUGCCUCCUAUAAGUGAUGUGAGCAGCAUCUCUCAUGUAAUUUUUCUU